UGCCCCGGCGAGGCGGGGCCGGGCGGGAGCGGCCCGAGCGCGGCUCCGCUCGGCUCCCGUGCGGCUGCAGCGGGGCCGGGGCCGGCAGCGAUGGUGGCCGCGCCGGGGCCGGGGCUGCUGGCCUUGGCCUUGGCUUUGUGGCCGGCAGGUGGCCUUUCUCAGGUGAAGACAGAAGCCUCAGGCCCUACAGUAGGGAAGAUCUCGGAGUCUGUCUGGCUCACUUGUCACAUCUCUGGUGUAGCCAUCACCGAUAGCAACUACGCAUGGGACUGGAUCCGGCAGACUCCUGGCAAAGAGCUGCAGCAUCUGGUGAUGCAGUAUCCUUUCACAGGACUCCAGCACAUCGCUUCAUCCUUCCGGACCCGAGUCAACAGCUCUGCAGACCCCUCCCAGAACCAGCUGUGGCUGCAACUGCUCUCUCCAGCAGCUACAGACACAGCCACCUAUUUCUGCAGCAUGAGAGAACUUGAAAAGGGCACAGUGCUUGAAACACAGGCAGGGCCAGGGCAGAAUUGGAAGGAGGGGCUUUAAUCUAGACAGAUCUUUUGUGGUUGCUGCAAGGCAAGGCUCUUCCCAGACUUCUCAAGACUAAUCUGGGCUGUCUUUUGCAGAACAGAUGCAGAGGUGCUACAGCAAUAACAAUAGCAGUCUCUCACAAGCAAACACCAAACCAUUAACGUGUUGUUAACUCCUUCCUUCCUUCUCAAAAUCUCCCACAGGCAGAAAGAACCAGGGAAAGAGGGUGGGGUUGUUUCUUUUGUUUUGUGUUUUGUUUGGUUUUUUAAAGAAUGUGAUUGUUUUUGUUUGAGUAAGGUUAAUUUUCUUCAUAGUAGCAGGAAUGGACUGUGUUUUGAAUCUGUCCUGGAAAGAGUGUUGGUAAUUCAGGGGUGUUUGAGUUAUUGCUGAUCAGUGCUUACAUGGAGAGAAGGCCUCUUCUGCUCCUCAUUCCACCCACCAGUGAGUAGCUGAGGGUACACAAAAUUUGGGAGGGAACACAGCUGGUUCAGCUCUGGCUGUCAAGGAUUUAUGAUACAGAAGUUGAAUAUCAUGAAGGAUUUGAUCAAUGUACAACAUCUCCUUUACUCUUUGAUCCUCACUCCCAAGGUUUCAGUGCCUCUACACAACAAAGAAUAAUCAGUUUGUCUACUUUCUCCUCUUACGCAAAACACCAUGAAGACUUUCUAAGGUACUAAAUGACCCCAGGAACCAAUUCUAAGAGACCAGAGGGCACAUUCCUCCUGCUUUCUAGCCUGAAACAAAGGGGAAAAAGGAGACAACUUCCAACAAGUGGCAAUUAUCAGAAAUGCUUUGAUAUAGCAUGAACAGUACUGAUUCUUUUCUUGCUUUUUAUCCAGCUUAACUCACUCAGACUUUUCAGAGGUGUCAUGUAAUCCCCAAGUUCUCAUUUACAACUCAACCUUUCUGAUAUUAUCUUAGAUCCUUCCUUGAAAGCCAUAUGGUGUUUUUUCAUGUGGUACGUUGGGUCUUAAACCAUGGAGGAGGUCAUGUGACUGUCUCUAAAAUCCAAUAUUCUGUCUAGUGGAACAGAGACAGUUUUUACAAGGAAAUAGAUCACUGUGUACAGGGGCCGGAGUACCACAAUGAUAUAAACAGCACAGGGGCCUGUACAAAAACAAAAAGAGGGGAAAAAGGUGAGAUAUUUUGGGAAAGAAAGGAGAUGGGUGACUAUAAUCAUUAAAGAGACAAAUAGAACAUUCUUUCUAUAAUGCCUUUUACCAUGGAAAGAUAAAAAGUCCAAGUGGAUUCUAAAAGGUGGAAGAAAGGGAGAACUUGAAAAUUCUACACUCAAUCAAGCUGUUUGAAAGCACUUGAACAAUUAAAUUAAUAUUUUAUCCUUUUUCAGUUUUGGAAGUAAGUGUACCUCUGGAUCAUCUCAUAGACUUGCACCCAUGGAUAAUUAGAAAAAAUAUCUGGCUUUCCGUCUCUUGGUUUACAACACAAAUUUAACACCAUGAGGAAAGAGUGAGUUAUUGGAAUAAGUCUUAGCAGUGUGAGGACAGAUAAGUGUAUAUUUGCACCAGGGAUGACUCUCACAGUUCUACCAAGUAAGUGACAUUUCUAUAUAUCUAAAACUCUAUUUAAAAUUGAGGUGUAGGUGAACAAAGAAGUUUAAUGGUUUGGGUUCACUGAAAGGAUUUUCAGCUGCAAUAAUCCCUUGAAUACACUCCCUCUCCAGCCAGGCUUUCAAGCCAAAUGCUCAGCUUGGAUCGUUUCC